rnacentral:rRNA from 1 species
AUUGACCGCUGGCGGCAGGCCUAACACAUGCAAGUCGAACGAGUGGCGGACGGGUGAGUAAUGUCUGGGCAACUGCCUGCUGGAGGGGGAUAACUACUGGAAACGUUAGCUAAUACAGCAUACCAUCUGAUGUGCCCAGAUGGGAUUAGCUUGUUGGUGGGGUACAGGCUCACCAAGGCGACGAUCCCUAGCUGGUCUGAGAGGAUGACCGGCCACACUGGAACUGCGACACGGUCCAGACUCCUACGGGAGGCAGCAGUGGGGAAGAUUGCACAAUGGGCGCAAGCCUGAUGCAGCCAUGCCGCGUGUAUGAAGAAGGCCUGCGGGUUGUAAAGUACUUUCAGCGGGGAGGCGUUACCCGCAGAAGAAGCACCGGCUAACUCCGUGCCAGCAGCCGCGGUAAUAC